AUGACAGCAUAGACAACAGCUGGAGAAGCCUCUCUCUCUUUAGCAACUACAGAAAGAGACACAGAAUCUCAGUAGAUUGGACUUUUAUCUUCUACAAACCUAAACAGAUGAAUUCACCUUCAAGAGUUAGGCUUCAGGCUCUGGAAUUGCACUCCAGUGAGCAGACAGCAGCAAAAUGGAAAAAAACAACCAAACCUUUCCUCAACAAACCUCAGACUGCAAGACAUGAACUGCCAGUGAUUUGCAGAAAACUUUCUAGCAGACUCUGCCAUCAGCUAACAUGUGUGCAAUCCAUCUCUUCCUACCAUGUGUCAUCAGUGAAUUGGAAGGUUUAUUCAUGCUCUGUGCUAUACUCCCUCAGCCGUCUCACAGAGAAGCUAUAAGACUACCUUGCAGAAUGAGCAUUAACUCCCACAAUUUAACAGCUGAAGUCUUAACAUAGCCAGUGACUUCUUUCUCUGAAAUGCUACUGAAAUGAAAUAGAUGUGAACAAGAACACCUAAAGGAAGUCAGACUUUCUACAAGAUUGAACGCUGUGUCUCAGCAGAGAUUGGAUAGAAACUGUGAACUGAGAAGUAUAUAUAACAAGGAGUUUGAUUUCCUCUUUCCCGAGACUCCUGGAACAGAGUAAUCAGCACAUGUUUGGUAUAUGUAUGACAACAAUAACAAGAUAGCAUCUUUCAUCCAAACUCAGAGAAUAAUGCGGAAGCAUUAAGGUUUACAGCACCUCUGUGAGGUUGGCAAGAGGUAUCCAGAGACGUUUUCACCAAUGGAGUGUUUUUUCCAUGUAUUUGUCACUGACUGUCACUGAUCACUCCCACAACUGGAGUGUGACUACUGAGGGCUAGAAGCUCUUCAGAAGGGACAGGCAAGGAAGGAGAGGAGGAGGGGAGGAAACGUUACUCUCUA